UUUUAUUGUAACAAUAUCUCCCGCCUCUGGAUUCUAUCUAUUCUUUGUUCCACACGCGCAUACACUAGUGUUACAAUCGGUUUCGAAGAGCAGAGAAGGAGAAGCAAGUUUCUAUUGCACAAGUUAUACUAAUUCGGAAUGCCCUGCUCAUGUCUUGAUCUUGUUUCUAAUGGCACCGAAUCUAUCAUCCAUGCAAUCAUUUGGUGUUGUUCUGUGACCAGAAGAAGGAGAAGAAGCCUCUUUUCGAUUACAAGUCUCUAUUUGUCUAUCCCCUGAUUAAAGAUUCCAUUACAGUGUUGUAGUGGAAAAUGUUGGCGACUGUAAUUUUCUCUAAAGCUGAUAGAGGAUAUAGAAAUGCUUUGGGCAGAAACGUGAGGCACUUACUCUGUUCUGAUUUUAUUAUGCUCAAGGAUGGGAAUUGAAAUAUUUCAAAUAUUCUGGAUUUUCCUUUCGAGUUGCCAGUUUAAUAAUUCCGUCUUCGGGAUAUCAAAAUUCUGUUCUCGAUCUAAGCAUACAUCGAAGGAAAGGUUGUUUGAAGAAGUAGACCAUCAUGGUAGGCAAUUUACAUCAAAUCAGAAAAAGUUGCUUAAUAUGGUAAUGAGUGUGUUGACAGAUGAGUAUUCUUUUGCGUUAGCUCUCUUUAUCGACAUUUUUUUUAGAAUUUCUUUACUACAAGAGACCUUUUCUUCUAGACGAUGUUUAAUGUAGCAAAUAAAAUUACAGUAAUUAGUAGCUAUAGAAACUUGAUGGUGACCAAAUACUCUGGCCAUGUGCGACAAAAACUUUUGUAAGUGUCAGCAAGAAAUUGUAGCAGAAGGGAUGAAAAAGGUGACAGGGAGAAUAAAAACUGACUUGGUUUGAUUAUUAUGAUAGCAAGAUUUGUGUUUAUGUUGUGGAGAAUAUGACUUUAAACUUGAUGUAGAUGAAAGAAAUAAAAUUUUGGUUGAAGAACUCAACUUGCUGGGGAUUGAGGCGUGCUUGAGUUGAGGUGAAGAAAAUUUUCUUCAGUUUCAUUUUUCAUAUAAAACAGUUUGUUUGUUUUUUUUGCAGUAAAAUAGGAAAGACAUGUGCCAUCUUCCUAUUUGUUUGAAUUAAAAAUGUUUAUAUAAAUCAAGGGUUCUCAUGAAAGGAUUUCUAUGGAAUUUAGGGUGUGGCUGUUUAAUCUCAGUGCAAAACAGUAUUUCCUUGAUCGUAGAAAGCAGCUAACAGUAUUUGGAAAAAAAAUAGGAAACUUCACUUAAGACUGUCUUCCUUGGAAGUUUUCUUUUUUCUUUUCUUUCUUUUCUUCUUCUUCUUCUUCCUUUUUUUUUAAAAAAAAGAAUCAGUGCUGUUGUUUGGCUAUUUUUUACUUGCAAAGUUUUGUAGUUAAGCUAUUCAGGCUUGAUGAGAAUUCAUACUUCUAUUACCUUUUCCUUUUCUUUGAAUUUUUUCCCCUCCAUGGCAUGGGCAGGUUGCAGGUAUUUUCUGUUGGGUAAAAUGUGAUCUAUUUAGAAUAUUUUUUUGUCAUUUUCUUAAUGAUAAUAUUGUAGGCCUUUUUAAGGCAAGGGUUAUUGCUGGUUUAAUUAUGAUAGAGAUCAAUGCAAAUAGCUGAGAAAUUGAUCAUGAAGAUUUUCAGAGGAAAAGUGCCUGGCUGUUUGUAAUCAAGAGGAAUCAGCUCUCAUGGGUUCUGGUGGUUUUCAUGAUUUAAUCGAGAAUGAAACAGCUUGAAAGCAAUUUAGUGUGAAUUCCAAAGAUGCUACAAAUUAUUUUGAUGUCUUCUUGGCAUGCAAAAGAUUUCCCUCCAUUGUUUUGGAUAGUUUUUUUUUUUCCAGUGGAACUGCAUGAUGAGCCUGACAUGAAUGGCCUUUUAGCAGCUACAAGUCUGGAAGGAUGUCUUCCAAAUGCUAUGGGUGUGAACUGUGUUGAUCCGGAUAUUCUUCAUGAGCAGUGGGCUUCUCCACACACCCUUUCAAAUGUGAACUCUUCCAUGCCAAAAGAAUUAAGAAGUGAAAGUUCAUACAUAAUAAGUGAAUUUAGGGAACAAAAUAUAUAUGCAUCAAAAGAAUUGAAUUUUUCCCAGUUUGCCUUUAUAUUCUCCAGACGUGACUUUAGAAACUGAAGAAAAACUAGGUCAUAAAAUUGGCACAGAAGAAUCUGCUACCAAAGUGGAGCUUGAAUUGCAAGAAAAUAAACCUAUCAGUUGCCUGCCUACCUUGGUUAAAUACUAGGCAACACUGUCAGCUGGAAAACUGUGGUUUUCACAUGAUUGGUCUGUUGUGUGAAAACAUAAAGUUCUUUUAUGUUCUUAUAAUCAUAAUAGGACAUGGGUUCACAUUCUUGUCAUGUUUGUGCAGUCACGGUAGUUUCCGCAACCUUUUCCUCAAACUUAUGCUGAUUUGUGGAAUGCACAUUUUGGAAUAGAAGAUGGACAGUAUUUGAUUUCUAUUGGGAAAGCAACAUCUUCCGGGGCAGUCAGCCAGUUAUCCGUGGGCAUUUACUAAAGUGAUUCUGGGUUAUGAGAUCGUAAACAAUGAAUCUAAGCAUGCGGUUGAUGACAUUAAUACUGGAGGAAAGAAAACAAUUUAUUUGCACCUUUAAGAAAUAUUUUUGUGGCACUCGUUUUACUCGUCUGCCUUUUCUUAAAAGACUCAGAGAAGCACAAAUUGGGAGAUGUCUGCGUUAGUGAUUUGCCUUUUCUAAUUUGCUAGGAGGGGUCUCUUUCAGCUUUGCUUGCAACUCUUUCGGCUCAUUUCCGCUACGAUGUUCUGGAUUGCUAGGCUACACGCCAUGGCAAUAACAAGUUUCAAGGACAGUGGAAAUGUCCCAGACAUUUAAAAUGAAACAAGGUUCAAGGUUAACGCAGAGUGCAGAAGACCGACCAGGAAUUUGUCUGUCGACUGAUUUCUUUGAGCUUUGUUUGGUCUCCGGCUUCAAAUAACUACAAUAGGGCUCCAUGGUGAAAUGGGAGUCCCGGGUUCGGAGGAUGGGAAAGUACCUUUUUAUGUACGGAAAUAGUUAAUGAAAAAGUGUCCAGGUAAAUAACGGGAGGAAACAUGGUCCAGUAUUUGCAUAUUCAUAUCAGAAUUCAACUUUCCCCUUCUGAAGGCAAUCGGGCUGGUAAAACUUUUUACAUCGGUAGACUGUAGAGAAAUUAAGUUGCAGAUUUGCCAAUGAGAUGGACAAUACAAAGAAGCCUUUCUACUGCUUAGAAGGCUGCUGGGUUGGUGACGAUACGAUGGGUUCUUUUCCCCCCCUUUUUUCUUAUUCGUGCAGUGGGUACCUUACUUUGUGAGAGUUGAAUCAUAUGAAUUAUGACUACUGUGAGGAAAAGGUUUCUCUGAGUGCAAAAGAAGUGUAUUAGAACCAAUUAUACCGAUCUUACUUUGCUCAGAAACAUUUAUUUGUUUCGUAGUUCAAAUUAUUUCAAUGAUGAGGCAAAUAUCAAUAUGCUGCCAGAUUUAUUAUC